GUUUUUAUAGUUGAAAUACAACGGUGGUUUUUCAGACCUCUGGUCUUGGUUAAAAUCCAGGUAAGAACU
rnacentral:tRNA from 1 species